ACACACACGAAUACUGUGAUAACCUCUGUUGACGUUAUUUUUUUUUUAUUUAUGCGAUUGAACUAUAUGUUAAGAGUUGUUAUCCGACCUCAGGUGUUUUCGAGGUCUUGGUCUAUCUAUGCUUGUAUAUCUAAGGAUGCUGUUAUUCUCUCUCAGCUCUUCUCAGUGUAUCUCUAAGGUAUGAUAGCAUCAAGGAUGCUGUCAUCUUAUCUAAACUCCUCUCAAAGCCCAUACCUAUCUAAAGUAUGCAGUUACCCUGACUGCUUAACACCCAGGUACCUAAUUACUGCUGGGUGAAGUGUGACAGUAGUGAGGUGAAGUAUUUACUCAACACCAUCAACUAGGCGUUUGUGUUAGGGCAGUUUACUAGGAGAAUAAACUAGCUACACUAGUGUUAUGAGACCAGUGGUUACGUCAGAGGUGGUUGACGUCGGAGAUGCACGAAAUGACGUACAUUAUUGAUGACGCCGCUGGUAUCUAGAAGGUCAUUAAAGGUCACUCCCCCCUCACUGUCUGGCAAGGACUACAUCACACAGGUAGUGGGGUGGGGUACACAACGUAACACAGGUAGUGGGGUGGGGUACACAACGUAACACAGGUAUUGGAGUGGAUAUGGACGACGUAACACGGGUAAUGGAGUGAAAAUUACCAUGAAACACAGGUGGGGGUGGAAGAUGAACCACGUUACACAGGUGGGAUGGAAGAUAAACCACAUUACACAGGUGGGGG